GGGAAACUUACCAAGGCCAAACAGAGGUGGGAUUGACAGAUUGAGAGCUCUUUCUUGAUUCUUUGGGUGGUGGUGCAUGGCCGUUCUGGUUAAUUCCGAUAACGAACGUGACUCUGUCCUGAGCAGACAAUUCUUCUUAGAGAAACUGGCGACUCUUAGUCUCACAAGAUUGAGCAAUAA
rnacentral:rRNA from 1 species